AAAAUUUCAAAGACUUUUGAUACAGCUUUUAUUGAGCAACUAGCAAGUGACUCUUUUAAGUAAAGUCCAGAUUAUUUUUUUCCUUUUACUAGAUUUUCACAAAAGAGCCUAACUUCAAAGUUUAUGCUCUUAAAAAAUGAUGGGUAAUUGAUUUUUUUCUUAAGUUUAUGUGUUCAACGAGUUCAUAGUUUGUGGCAAGAUGGAUUUUUAAUGGGAUAACAAUAUGUACAAAAUUGAUGGAGAACGAUAAUAAAUAGCUGAUUAAUCAUCAGUGUGAUACUGUGCAAUGCACAGUAUCAUGACUGUAUUAAAAUUACCUCUUUAAUGUUGAAUUUUACAUUUUACAUUCAACAUUAAAAAGGUAAUUUUAAUACAGUCAUGAUUCCAUUUAAAAAUGAGCAUCUAUUAUUUGCUAGACAUGGAGAGUAGAGCUAGAGGUAAAAUGGGAAGACGUGACACAUCAUUAUAUGGGGAGAAAGACAUGAUGAGAGUCCCAAUAUAACUUAACUGUUGUUAUGGGUGGGUGCAGAAAGUAUAAGAGGAACUUAGGAGAAAGAAAGCCUUAGUCUUUAGGGAAAGUGAGAAAAGGCUUCAGAGUGGGGAGCAUUUGAAUGAAGAAUAAAAUAUGAAUAGCAAUAGUUUAGUGCAAAGGCACAUGCAGGUGCACCACAAGUGUGUGAGAAUGUGGCACAUUUCAAGGAUUUCAUGUGGCUUAUAAUUGCUGGUUUAUUAACAAUAGAAGGAAAUGACAUGAAAAAGGGAAAGUAGAUGGGCCUGGAGGCACAGGUAAAGGUUAGAUCAUGAAUCGUAUGAUAAAGUACUUAGGUUCUUUCCUGCAGUAAUAAAGAGCUAUUGAAUAAUUUUGAGCUGGAGACUUGCAUGAUCAAAUUGGCCUGUUUGAUCUCUCUAGUGCAGAGCAUCAUUUGAGAGAUCAAAAGCAGGACCUUUAAAUCCAAGCCAUAUGGAUGAUGAGAAACUAGGAUAAUGGCCAUGGGGAAGCUGAGAAUCGUGUUAGCAAGAACAUUCAAUCCACAAAAUUACGCAUUUUAAACCAUUUUGGUUAAAAGGAGUUUGUUGUGUCACUAGAACUAUAGCUUCUUUUUAGGAGCCCUUGAAAAACAUGGACUACAAGUUUUAAGUAAUUUGAAUGACUUUGCUUAAUGCUUAAAAUAGAUGAAAUUUUUAAUCUGCUCCUGCAGUAGAAGGUAUACCAUCUAGGCAUACAAAAUGUGAAAGAUUAAAUAACUUAUUCUUGAAUUGUUUCCCUGAGUAAAUCUCUUAAGUCAUCUACUUAUUCUAUAGCUCUUUCAUAAAAUUAGAGUAUAGAAAAAUAUUUUUAUUUGGACUAUAGUGUCAUUAGCACUCCUAGGUGCCUCAUUCUCUACCCUCCCUUUUCCCCAGUUACAUACUCUCAAGUCUCUUUCCAAGACACUAGUGCCCAUAUCAAAAUCUGCUCCAUUAAAUGAUUGAUUUGUUGAAUUAUUAUUUUUUCGAUAGACAUUCAGAGUCAGCCUGAAAUCAGCACUCUUAGCUGUUUGAAGGGGACUUUUGUUAUUACCACGACUCAGAAGAGCUGUAUGAGCACUGAGCUUCCUCUAGAAUCUGGUGUUCCAGUCAUAAGUAAUACCCUGAACAAAAGUUUGAAGAUGAGGGACAGAUGUCCUAUUCAAGAAGGAAGUUGCUAGUGAGAGAUGACCCUAGAGAAGGAAGAAGAGACCAUCACUUUGACUCAGAGUGUAUAAAUUAUUAAAAGUUUGGAUUUAUCCUGAGAGGAGUAGUGAGCCAUUGAAGGCACAUUUAAAUACUCAGCCUGUUCCAUUCUGUCAUGCAUAUCCUGAUAGUUGUUAUACUGUGUGGGGAAGGAAAGUAGUUGAGUCUUGUUAACUAUGAGGUAUUAAAUUAGGGAAAACAGUAAAAGGUGAGUCAAACUUGUAAUCAGGAAUAUUUUGAAUAUUUUUGAAGAGUGUAAAUCUUUACCACCUUUCAGAAGGACAUUAUUUAGUUAUGUAUAUCGAGAAUCUGGUCUACUAACUUCACUUCUAGAAAUUUACUCUAAGAAAGGAAUUGGAGUCCAGUUUUGCCUCCUGUUUUUAUUAUAUAUGUCUUAAAUCUGUAACGUGGUAUUUCCCAAGUAGAUGACAUCUAUCUCAACUAAUUUUUGAUAGAGCACCAGCAUAGAGCAAGGAAUAUUGUUAACUUUGGGGGAAAUCUUCCCCUGUAACUCUGAUAUACCAAUUCCAGAGUAGAAGGCUGGGUAUUUCCUAACUCUGUUCUCAGGUUUAGAAGAAGCAAAAUAAUUGUUAACCCCCAAGUGCAUGUUGGAUAUCUAUAAUCAAUGUUCUAAAAGAGAGAACUUUAAUUGGUGAGGUUUUUACUAGACUCUUGAGUUCCCUUGAAGAGCUCACCUUGCACUUGUUUAGUGCUUUCACAGUUAGCAAGGGAGUUUUCACAUAUGAUAUAUCUUCUGAACCUCACAACCAUAUUUGCAAAGAACAAAACUCAAAAUCAGAAAUGAUUUACACAAAGUUGUGUUGCAAACAAAGUGUAAGUGCUGUUGUCAGGACUAUAACCCAAAUCACCUACUCCAGGGGUCUUUCCACAGUCUACCCUAUUGCUUCAUGCAUGGUACACAUUCCAUAUGCAGAGGAAUUUGUGCUUUAAUGAAUAAAUGAGUGCAUUUUCAAAAGGCUUGGCUUGAAAAAGUAUGUGCCCUCGUAUGUUGAUGUUAAUAAUGUUUUCAGUGCUUGGAUUGAUUUCUAUCCAAAAUUGUCUUUUGCUUUAUGUUAUUAUUAAGUUAGGGAAAACAUACAGAGCUGCUGCUGUUAUAAAACACAAGUAGUUAUUUAGCUUGAUCUAUUGCUGGGACAACAGAAUAUUAUAGUUAAAAAUGCUUGGACCUUGGAGACAAAGCAACAUAUGCUUAAAUAAUAGCUUUUUAUACUUCACAUGAAUUUCUGUUUUAUCUGUUUAUACACACUUACUUAAAAAUGAAAGGCUUUUUCCUUAUGUUAAAUUUUCCUAAAAACACAAUAUCAGUAUCAAUCUGUAAUCUAAUCACUUUCAUGAUGAACCACUAAUCUUUAUUUUUGCCAGUUACUCCUUUGGAUUACAUGGCCAUGCUUAAUGGAAUAGGACUAAGUGGAAGAGUACUAUGAAGAUUGAGAAUUGCAUUUCAUAGGCUUCUCUCUCUGUUGUAAUACUAGCUCUAUGUAAUUGAAAGAUGUUGAGUUAAAAGUUAAAGAAAAUUGGUCGGGCACGUGGCUCACGCCUGUAAUCCCAGUGCUUUGGGAGGCUGAGGCAGGUGAAUCACAAGGUCAGGAGAUCAAGGCCAUUCUGGCUAACAUGAUGAAACCCCAUCUCUACUAAAAAUAGAAAAAUUUAGCCAGGUGUGGUGGCGCACACCUGUAGUCCUAGCUAGUUGGGAGGCUGAGGCAGGAGAUGUGCUUGAACCCAGGAGGCAGAGGUUGCAGUGAGCCACACCACUGCACUCCAGCCUGGGUGACAGAGCAAGACUCCGUGUCAAAAAAAAAAAGGGGGGGGGGAAUUUAGUGUGAACUUAAUAGCAAGAUUAUAUCAUUAUUAAAUCUGCUUAAACAGCAAAGUAAAGGGGUGUGUGCAUGCAUGCAUAUAGUAUUCCUUAUAUGCACACCUAGAGUAUAAUCUUCACUGUUCUGUUGUGGAAAGCAGCCUAAUAAAAAUACAUGAAGCGAGGCAAAUAUCGUUUGGCUUCAGAGUUCAAUUCAUUAUCUUAUAAUGAAGAUUUAGAAGUUUAUGGGAUUAUAAAUUUUUUUAUUAAUUCCACAUAUCCGAUAUUCUAUAUAUUUUUUCCUCAAACUUUUUUAAAAGGAAAUCAUUCACUCUGUUCUAGCUACCCUAAGCAUUGACCAGCUCUUUGCCACCACUUUCCUUUUCAACAUGCUAUUCUUGCUACUGAGAAUGCUUUUAUAUCUUCUUUCUCCCAAGAAUGCCUGCCUGUCUAAACCUGAAAUCACAAGGAGAUCUUCCCCGACCACUACCCUCUGGACUAAAUCAGUUCUUCUAUGUUCUCUUGUCAUCCAGUAGUUUUUCUUCAAAACCUUCCUUGGGAUUUUUAAUUAUAUGUUUAUGUGAAUGUCUGCUUAGUGUUUUUCUCUCCUGUAUAUGGCAGGACAGGUAUGCCCAUGUUCAUAAUGAUAAGCAGGGACAAUUUUUCCAUUUUGUUCAGUACUGUAUUUCAGCACUAGUACAAAUGUAGUACCUUAUAAGCUCUCAAUAAAAAUGUUAGGAGUAAGUGAAUUAACGAGUGAGUAAAUGUGACAGGAACUUUAGUGGCUUUCUUAGUAUCUUCAACCUGCAAACAAAGUCCCCUCCAUCUUCCUAGGCCAGCCCCACAGGGGCCGAUAAUGCACAGGAUUAGCUGCCUCACAUCCCCUGCCCUAUCUCCUUCAUUCCAGCUGAAAAACUUCAGUUCCACCUAGUUCUUGCUUGCUUCCUUUCCCUGCCAUCUCAUUACAAAGGUCCUAAUAUGCCCAUCAGCCAAGCAAGUUAUAGCAUUUUUCAAAAGAGCAUAACUUUAUUUUACCUACUCACUGAUUCUGUCUGAAAAUGUGGAAGCGGUUAGCUUCUAAACCCUCAUCUAACCUGAAAGUACAUGAAGAAAAGGCAGACAGCAGUUUUAUUUGUGGUAUGUGUGUAUAUAUGUGUGAAAAUCAGAUGUGGUAAGAAAAGUCUUGAAAGAAUAAAUGAAUUAUUCUGAAUCUCAUCUUUAAGUCUUGUAGAACUUAUUUUUCCCUAAUAUGAUGUGCAUAUGACAACUUGCUCUCACAUUAAAGCUGCUAAACUGAAUUCUCAUGCAAAAUAAUUAAUUAGGCCGAGCGCAGUGGCUCAUGCCUGUAAUCCCAGCACUUUGGGAGGCCAAGGCAGGUGGAUUGCCUGAACUCAGGAGUUUGAGACCAGCCUAGUCAACAUGACAAAACCCCAUCUAUACACAAAAUACAAAAAUAAGCUGUAUGUGGUGGCAUGCACCUUUAGUCCCAGCUACUUGGGGGGCUAAGGCAGGAGAAUUGCUGGAGCCUAGGAGGUCAAGGCUGCAGUAAGCCAUGUUCAUACCACUGCACUCUAGCCUGGGUGACAGAUUGAGACCCUGUCCCUAAAAUUAAUAAUGAUAAUAAUAAUAGUCAUUUAUUUUAAGUCUGCAUGCUGAGAUGCCAGAAAAAGUAAAAUUGGAUUAUAGAUUCAAGCAGUAUGUAGGUAUACUUUCGUAAACUGAAUACUGGUAUAAUUUUGGAUGAUUAAAAACAGACUUUUAAUAGGUGUUCAAAAAUCUGGAUAAUUCCUUUCAUGACAUUCAGACAUUAGGGUGGCCUGUCUUUGUUUUUUAUCAUAUGACUGCAAAUAUUCAAUUGUUUUAUGUCUAAUAAGUACUUUCAGCCAUUCUGGCCAAUUUGUGAGGUUUUGUGGCUUUUUUGAUGGAGGGAAGAGAGGGGUAGAACUGUUAAAAACAUUUUUAUUUUUUAAAAUUUAGCAAAUAAAUAAACACUAGGAAAAUGCUAUUCUGAUAAAAAUAUUAUUUGAUAUUCUUAUCUGAUUAAGAUUAAAUACUAUCUUAUUUGUACUAUGUUAUUUUAUUUUCAUAAUGCUGUGAGGAAGCUCAGUUGCUGGUUUUAUCCUCAUUUUACAUACUAGAAAGUUGAGGGACAUGGAUUAAUUAGGUAGUUAUGUAGUAGAGCUAGGAUUUAAACAAUUGCAGUAUGGAUUUUAGCAUAAUAUAUUGCCCUUAAAAAAUAGCAUAAUUUAACAGAAACCUAACAACAAUUGUAGUAGUGGCAACCAUGUAUAAAGCCCAGUCUAAGUACAAUGGAAUAUACAAAGACUAACACAGGCAUAUCUCAGAGAUAAUGCAUGUUCAGUUCCAGACAACCACAAUAAAGUGAAUAUUACAAUAAAGCAAGUCACACAAUAUUUUUUAGGUUCCCAGUGCAUAUAAUAGUUAUGUUUAUGCUAUACUGUAGUCUGCUAAGUGCACAAUAGCAUGAUGUCUAAAAAACAAUGUACAUAAUUAGAAAAUAUUGCUAAAAUAUGCUAAUGAUCAUGUGAGCCUUCAAUAAGUUACUGUUAUUAUUAUUAUAAUUUUUCUUUUUGCUGGUGGAGGGUUUUCCCUCAAUGUUGUUGUCUGCUAACUAAUCAGGGUGGUGGUAGCUGAAAAUUGGGGUGGUUUUAACAAUUUCUUAAAAUAAAAUGACAAAGUUUGCUCUAUCAAUUUAUUCUUCCUUUCACAAAAGAUUUAUUAGCUGCAUGAUUUAAUAGCAUUAUACCCACAGUAGAACUUCAUUCAAAAUUAGGGUCAAGCUCUACUUCCAAUUUUAGUUCUCUUAUUAUUUCCACAACACUUGCAGUGAAUUCCUCCACUAAAGUUUUGAACCCCUCAAAGCCAUCCACGAGGGCUGGAUUCAAUUUCUUCUAAAUUCUUGUUAAUCUUGAUAUUUUGACUUCCUCCUGUGAAUCACAGACGUGUUUAAUGGCACUUAGAAUAGUGAAUUCUUUUGACAACGUUUUCAGUUUACUUUUCCCAGAUCCAUCAGAGGAAUCACUAUCUGUCACAGCUAUAGCCUUACAAAAUGUAUUUCUUAAAUAAUAAGACUUGAAAUUUUAAAUUAAUUGUUCCAUGUGCAGCUGAAUGGCUGGUAUAUUAGCAAACAUGAAAACAACAUUAAUCUUUACAUCUCCAAAAGACUUCUUGGGUGACCAGGUAUAUUGUCAAUAAGAAGUAAUAUUUUGAAAGGAAUCUUUUUUUUCUAAGGAGUAGGUUCCAAUGAUAGGCUUAAAAUAUUCAGAAAACCAUGCUAUAAAUAGAUGUACUAUUGUUCAGGCUUUGUUGUUUCCUUUAUAAAGCACAGGCAGAGUUAAUUGAGCAUCAUUCUCAAGGGCCCUAGGAUUUUAAGAAUGGUAAAUGAGCAUUGGCUUCAAGUUAAAGUCAUCAGCUCUUUUAGCCCCCAACAACAAAGUCGGCCUGUUUUAUGGUUUGAAGCUAGGCAUUGACUUGUUUCUAGCUCUGAAAGUCUACUGUAAGGCAUUUCAUCUGUAAUGAAAUUGAAAAAUCUAUCGUUUAGUGUAGCCACCUUCAUCAAUCAUCUUAGCUAGAUCUUCUGCAUAGCUUGCUGUAGCUUCUCCAUCAGCACUUACUGCUUCACCUUGCACUUUUAUGUUAUGGAGAUAGCUUCUUUCCUUAAACCUCAGAAACCAGCCUCUGCUAGCUUCCAACUUUUCUUCUGUGGCUUCUUUAGCUCUCUCAACCUUCGCAGAAUUGAAGAGAGUUAGGACCUUAAUCUGGAUUAGGCUUUGGUUUAAGGGAAUUUUAUGGCUGGUUUGAUCUUCUGUCCAGACCACUCAAACUUUUUUCCGUAUCAGCAAUAAGGCUGUUUCACUUUCUUAUCAUUUUUGUGUUGAAAGCCUUACUUUCAGUGUAUCUUAGCUUUUGACAUGCCUUCCUCACUAAGCUUAAUCAUUUCUUGCUUUGAUUUAAAGUGAGAGACAUGUGACUCUUCCUUUCACUUGAACACUUAGAGGCCAUUGUAGGAUUAAUUAAUUGGCCCAAUUAUAAUAAUACUGUUGUUUCUCAGGAAAUAGAGAAGCCUGAGGAGAGGAAAAGAGAUGGGUCUGCUAGCUUCCAACUUUAUUUCUGCAGCUUCCUUACCUCUCUCAGCUCUCAUAGAAUUGAAGAGAGUUGGGGCCUUGCUCUGGAUUAGGCUUUAGCAUAAGGGAAUGUUGUGGCUGGUUUCAUCUUCUAUCCAGACCACUUAAACUUUCCUGUUUUCUCCUGUGUCAGCCUGUCUUUUGAAGCUUUGAAACCAAGCAUUGACUUCUCUCUCUAGCUCUAUCAGUGCUAGAUGGCAUCUUCUUCCACUAUAAGGCUGUUUCAUCUACAUUGAAAAUUUGUUAUUUAGUGUACUGUUGUUCUUGGCUCCCCAAAAUAAUUACAGUGGUAAUAUCAAUGAUCAUUGAUCACAGAUCACCAUAACAGAUAUAAUAAUAAUGAAAAAGUUUUAAAUAUUGUGAGAAUUACCAAAAUAGGACAAAAAGACACGAAGUGAGCACAUGCUGCUGUUGGAAAGAUGAUACCAAUAGACUCAUUCAGCCCAGGGUUGCCAGAACCUUCCAUUUGUAACAAUUGUAAUCUUCAAAGAAUAAAUUGAAGCAUUCCUAUAAUAUUCCACUGCUAAUAUUUACUGAUUACUUACUAAGCUCCUAUGCUAAGAACUUAAAUACCGUAUCUCUUAGAAUCUUCAAAAUGAUCCUAUGAGUUUAAUAUCAUUAUUUCUAUUCUGCGGAACUGAAAGGAACUGGAACACAGAGUUUACCUUAAAGAACUAGAAAAUAGAGUUGAGAAAUGAGUCUAAGCAGCCUGACUUUAAAAUUCACAUCUUUUUGUGACUAAAGCCAUUACUGCUUAUAAGGAUUUUACCAUCUAUUAGGGAAGAUACAGCUAUUAUUAUCACAAUGAUGGAAAAUUUGUGAUAUUAUUAACAUAUAAACAUUUAUAAUUAAAUUUACCUGAAGUUAUAAAGGUUGGUUUGUCUAACAACUGCCUGACUUAGCUGCAUUCUUUCAGGAUUAAAGUAAGUAAAAUAAGAGAUCAGUUUAUUUUAGUGGCAAGGAAGCCAUAUCUGAGUCAAUACUUAUUUAUAACAACCAAUUUCUCUCUGUAUUGUCUUUAUUCACACAGAAGACAGAUGUAGUACAGAAUGACAUAUUUUUCCCAAUCAAGGUACUUGUAAACAUGUUAGAGAUCCAUUGUAAAUAUUAGCGUAUUCAUUUUGUGUAUAUUCUCUGAUUCCUGUGGAUGACUUUGCUAUUUCUAAAGUGUUUCAUAGUGGCAUUGGCAAAGCCCUACAUGGUAACAGUCUAUACUAUGAAAAGUGUUCCCCAGUGGGCUGCUUCCCUACCACAGUGAUUCUCAAAGUAUGGGCCAUCGUUGGCAAAGGGCUCUGAUGACUGAGGUCUGACCAAGAAGUGACGGUUCUUUCUUUGAUUCUUAUGGGCAAAUAAUACAUAAAUUCACAGACUUCCAUUUUCACUUGUGACUAGAUAUUGCUUACUAGUAACCUAAUAAAUGAGUUUAAAAGGUUACAAAUUGAAUAAUCAUAAAAUAAUGCAUUCAUAGAAUUUAUUGAAUAUUCUAAUUUAGUUUUUUUUCAGUAUGUCUGUGUUUUAAUUCAUUCUCACAUUGCUGUAAGGACAUACCCAAGACUGGGUAAUUUAUAAAGGAAAGAGGUUUAAUUGACUCACAAUUCCACAGGGCUGGGGAGGCCUCAGGAAACUUACAAUCAUGACAGAAGAGGGAGUAAACUUAUCCUUAUUCACAUGAGGGCAGCAAGGAAAAGUGCAGAACAAAUAGGGAGAGGGGAAGCUCCUUAUAAAGCCAUCAGAUCUCAUGAGAAAUCACUAUCAUGAGAACAACAUGGAGGUAACUGCCCUCAUGAUUCAAUUACCUCCCACUGGGUUCAUCCCAUACUACAUGGGGAUUGUGGGAACUAUAAUUCAAGAUGAGAUUUGGGUGGGAACACAGCCAAACCAUAUCAUUAUGCCCUUGUCACCUCCCAAAUUUCAUGCCCUCACAUUUCAAAACAAAAUCAUGACUUCCCGAGAGUCCCCCAAAGUCUUAACUCAUUCCAGCAUUAACUCAAAAGUCCAAGUCCAAAGUCUUAUCUGAGACAAGGCAAGGGUCUUCCACCUAUGACCCCGUGGAAUCAAAAGCAAGUUAGUUACUGCCUGGAUACAGUAGGGUACAGGCAUUGGGUAGAUACACCCAUUCCAAGUUGGAGACAUUGGCCAAAACAAAGGAGCAACAGGCCCCAUGCAAGUCUGAAAUCCAACAGGGCAGUCAAAUCUUAAAGCUCCAAAAUGAUCUCCUUUGACUCCUUGUCUCACAUCCAGGUCACACUGAUGCAAGAGGUGGGGUCCCAUAGACUUGGGCAACUCUGCCCCUACAGCUUUGCAGGGUACAGCCUCCCUCCUUCCUGCUUUCAUGGGCUGGCAUUGCAGCUUUUCCAGGAGCACAGUGCAAGCUGUCAGUAGAUCUACCAUUCUGGGGUCUGGAGGAUGGUGGCCCUCUUCUCAUAGCUCCACUAGGCAGUGCCCCAGUGAGGACUCUGUGUGGGGGCUCUGAACCCACAUUUCCCCUAUACACUGCCCUAGCAGAGGUUCUCAAUGAAGGCUCCACCCAUGCAGCAAACUUCUGCCUAGAGAUCCAGGCAUUUCCAUACAUCCUCUGAAAUAUAGGCAGAAGUUCCCAAACCUCAAUUCUUGACUUCUGUGCACCUACAGGCUUAAUACCAUGUUGAAGCUACCAAGGCUUGGGCCUUACACCUUCUGAAGCCAUGGCCCAAGCUAUACCUUGGCCCCUUAUAGCAUGGCUGGGGUGGCUGGGAUGCAGGGUAUCAAGUCCGUAGGCUGCACACAGCAGGGGGAUCCUGGACCUGGCCCACAAAACUGUAUUUUCCUCCUAAGCCUCCUGGCCUGUGAUAUGAAGGGCUGCCAUGAAGAUCUCUGACAUGGCCUGGAGGCAUUUUCCCCAUUGUCUUGGUGAUUAACAUUCGGCUCCUGGUUAUUCAUGCACAUUUCUGCAGCAGGCUUGAAUUUCUCCCCAGAAAAUGGAUUUUUCUUUUCUACUGCAUUGUCAGGCUGUACAUUCUCCAAACUUUUAUGUUCUGCUUCAUCUUGAAUGCUUUGCUGCUUAGAAAUUUCCUCUACCAGAUACCCUAAAUCAUCUCUCUCAAAUUCAAAGUUCCACAGAUCUCUAGGUCAGGGGGAAAAUGCCACCAGUCUCUUUGCUAAAGCACAGCAAGAGUCACCUUUGCUCCAGUUCCCCACAAGUUUGUCAUCUCCAUCUGAGACCACCUCAGCCUGGACUUCAUUGUCCUUAUCACUAUCAGCAUUUUGCUCAAAGCCAUUCAACAGGUCUCUAGGAAGUUCCAAACUUUCCCACAUUUCCCUCUCUUCUGAGUCCCCCAAGUCUCUAGGAAGUUCCAAACUUUCUCACAUCUUCCUGUCUUCUUCUGAGUCUUGUAAACUGUUCCAAACUCUGCCUGUUACCUAAUUCCAAAGUGGCUUCCACAUUUUUGGGUAUCCUUAUAGAAGCACCCCACUCUACUGGUACCAAUUUAGUGUAUUAGUUCAUUCUCACACUGCUAAUAAAGACAUACCCAAGACUUAUUAAUUAUAAAUGAAAGAGGUUUAAUUGACUCACAGUUACACAGGGCUGGGAAGGCCUCAGGAAACUUAGAAUCUUGGCAGAAGGGGAAGCAAACAUGUAAUUCUUUAUAUGGCAACAGCAAGGAGAAGUUCGGAGUAAAGGGGAGAGGAAAGCCCCUUAUAAAACCAUCAGAUCUCAUGAGAACUCACUAUCAUGAGAAUAUCAUGCAGAUAAUAGCCCCCAUGCUUCAGUUACCCCCCACUGGGUUCCUCCCACAAUAUGUGGGGAUUAUGGGAACUACAGUUCAAGAUGAGAUUUGGGUGGGUCGCCGCCAAACCAUAUCAACCUGGUACCCGUGCAGCCCUGACAAUGCAGUCAUGUUCAUAUUGCAAGCACAAGUGUAGAUUCUCCAGUUUUUCAUGGUUUUCAGGAGGAAUGCUAUAUCGAUACAUCACUGGGAUUUUUUUACAAAGUAACUAUAGUUUUUAACUACUGUUCAUUUUCAUUAUAAGUUAUUAUUAGAUUUCAUCACUAUCAAUUUUAGUUUGUUUUAGGUUGCUUGCUUUACCCUCUAGUAUGUAGUGAUUCAUAUUUACCUAUAAUUUUUCAAGACUGAUACUAUGAAUCAUCUAUACCCAACAGCACUUAUAGAGUAACAGUCUAUUGAUAUCACCUAAUUAUUUUAUCCAUUGGAAAGUAGGGAUAAAGAGACCACCCAAGGGAUCUAUUGGUCUGUCUUAGGGAGCCACAGUCAAAAACUGUGGAAACCCACUGCCUUAGAUACAGAUAUAUGAUUAAAAGAAGAAGAAAAAAAAUAUUGGCUUUACUUGUUUAUAAAUAUGAAACUGAUUUGGUGAAUGCUAGUCCAUAAAAAAUUAGCUCACUUGUACUUCCUGACUCAUUUAUACUAAUAGUUCUUUUUGCUUAUAUAUUUAGGAAGGUUUUUUUAAAAAAAAUCGACUAUCAGUACUCCUCCCAUCCUCCCAUUUUCUCAUUCACCACAGACUGGUGUACUUAUAACUGAACUGGCCAAACUAGAGGAUUUAAUAAUAGAAAUACUCUUUGAAGGUUUAAAGAUUCACAAAUACAAACUUUCAGUCCCAGAUAAGAUGGAGUACACACAUUUUAUUUUAUUUUUCCUACUGCUCACAACUGAAAAAUACCUGGAUAAGAUACAUUAACUCAUCUACCAGAAGACUCUGAAAGGUACAAAAAAAUAAAGAAGACAGGCUAGGGACCUUCAGACCCAAGGAAGCGCUGUGAGUUUCCAGGCUUUUUUAUUUGCCUCCUGUAUACCUUGCCUGGGUGCUAUAAAAGCCUUCAACCUGAAAACAUCAAUAGGUACAGACAAAAUACAGCCCCCAAAAAGCCUGCUCUCUUUAGCCAGUGGACUCUCUUUAACCCAACGUGACAGAAAUGUUUUAACAAUACUUGCCUGUUCUCAAAACAGAAACCAUGAAAAAAGUCAUGUUUCUCUUCCUCCACCACAACUGGCAUAAAGAGGUUCAAUUCACUAAGAAGAUAUGACAGUCUUAAACAUGUAAGCACCAAACAACAGAGAUUCAAACACUAGAAGCAAAAUCUGCCAGAACUAAUAGGACAAAUUGAAAGAGUUACAAUUAAGAUUGGGGUCUUCAACAUCCCUCUUUUGGUAAUUGAUAGAGCCACUAAAGAAAACACCAGCAAGGGUACAGAAGUACUGAAUGACUGUCUACCUGCAGUUUCUAACUGACAGCCAACAACAGCAGACUGCACAUUGUUUUCAAACGUGCAUGAGACAGUCAUCAGAAUACAAGAUAUCUUGAGUCAUAAAACAAACCUUAACUUUAAAAGAACUUGAAAUACUACAAAGUAUGUUCUCUGAUUAUAAUGAAAUCAAACUAGACACCAAUAACAAAAAGGUAACAAGUAAAUCUCCAGCCACUUGGAAAUUAAAGAACAUACUUCUAAAUAAUCCACAGAUUAAAAAGCAGUAUAAAGGAAAAUGAAACUGAGUGAAAAUAAAAAGACAGCAUAUACUUAAAGGAAAUUUAUAGCACUAAAUGCUUAUAUGAGAAGAAAAGAAAGAUGUCCAUAAUCUGAGCCCCUACCUCAAAAAAAUUAGAAAAAGAACCAAAUAAAAGCAGAAGGAAGGUUUAAUAAAGAUCAUGAAAUUCAAUGAAGUUGAAAACAGAAAAACAAUAGGGAAAAUCAAACCAAAAACUAUGGGUUUUUUUAAUUUAAAAAAUUGACUAACAUCUAGCAAGACUGAUAAAAGGAAAAGGGAGAGAAGACUCAAAUUACCAAUAUCAAGAAUAAAAGAGAGAAUAUCACUACAACCCUCAUAGACAUUAAAAGAAUACUAAAUAAAUACAACUCUGUGCAUGUAAGUCUACCAGUUCAGAUGAAAUGGACCAAUUCCUCAAAACAUACAAACUGCGAGAACUCACCCAAAAUGAAAUAUAUCUGAAUAGUUACAUAACUAUUAAAGAAAUUUAAUUAUUUCUUUAUUAGUUUAAUGAUUUAAUAGUUACAUAACUAUUCACAUAUAUAUAACAUAUUUAAAUUUCCAAAAUAUCAAUACAGAAAUACUUUAAAGAAGCAAAUCCACAGUACUAAUAUUUUUGUAUUGAUUGAGUGUGGGAAUAACCAAUUUUGCUUUUAUUGUUAUGUUCCAUGCUGCAUUUAAAGUGUCAGAAGCCUAUAAGAGAUUUGAGGUACAAGACUUGUAAUUUAAUGGAAUUCCUAAGAUACUGAUUAAAUUCAUCAAUUUUAUUAAUUUUGAAAAUAUUGUUUAAAUGUUUAGAAAUUUUUAUUUCAUCAAUUUUUAAGUUUUAAAAUUUUAACAUUAAAAAAACAAAAAGGGCAGACUGCACUGGGUUGCCGCCGCAGCUGCCGCUGCCACUGCCGCCAUCGUGCCAGCCCCUUGGGUCUCUGUGAGGCUGGGUGAUGCUCCAGAAUGGGAGACAAGCCAAUUUGGGAGCAGAUUGGAUCCACCUUCAUUCAACAUUAUUACCAGUUAUUUGAUAAUGAUAGAACCCAACUAGGCGCAAUUUACAUUGACGCGUCAUGCCUUACGUGGGAAGGACAACAGUUCCAGGGGAAAGCUGCCAUUGUGGAGAAGUUAUAGCCUUCCAUUCCAGAAAAUCCAGCACAGCAUCGCGGCGCAGGACCAUCAGCCCAUGCCAGAUAGCUGCAUCAUCAGCAUGGUUGUGGGCCAGCUUAAAGCGGAUGAAGACCCCAUUACGGGGUUCCACCAGAUGUUCCUAUUAAAGAACAUCAACGAUGCUUGGGUUUACACCAAUGACAUGUUCAGACUCGCCCUGCACAACUUCGACUGACCUCUCAGCCAGGCACUCGCACUGUUUCCUCCUCCCUCCUCUUCCCAAUACUAUUACCACUCCUCCAGAUGCUACAAAUAUCAUGCACAAAUGAGCAGGGCUGCGGCGGGAGUGGGCGCAGUGCGCUGCUGCCACCAAGGUGUUGUGCAUGAUGUUUGGACGCUAGACUAGUUGCAUCUGACGGGAGAAGUUUGUGUUGUACCAGCGCAUGCUUGGAAAGACUUAAGUAAUGCAAAAGGUUGUCCUUUUUUUUUUUUUUUUUAAUCUACUGACAAGUUGCUCUAGUAACCCAAAGAUGUGAAGGAGAAAGCAGCUGCCUCACCGCCCAGAAGUUGCUUUGUUCAGAUGUUUCAAUGCCUCAUGAUACAAUAAAACCACAAAAAUUUU